rnacentral:rRNA from 1 species
CAACAGUUGGAAACGACUGCUAAUACCGCAUAAGCCCACGACCCGGCAUCGGGUAGAGGGAAAAGGAGCAAUCCGCUUUGAGAUGGCCUCGCGUCCGAUUAGCUAGUUGGUGAGGUAACGGCCCACCAAGGCGACGAUCGGUAGCCGGACUGAGAGGUUGAACGGCCACAUUGGGACUGAGACACGGCCCAGACUCCUACGGGAGGCAGCAGUGGGGAAUAUUGCACAAUGGGGGAAACCCUGAUGCAGCGACACCGCGUGGAGGAAGAAGGUCUUCGGAUUGUAAACUCCUGUUGUUGAGGAAGAUAAUGACGGUACUCAACAAGGAAGUGACGGCUAACUACGUGCCAGCAGCCGCGGUAAAACGUAGGUCACAAGCGUUGUCCGGAAUUACUGGGUGUAAAGGGAGCGCAGGCGGGAAGACAAGUUGGAAGUGAAAUCCAUGGGCUCAACCCAUGAACUGCUUUCAAAACUGUUUUUCUUGAGUAGUGCAGAGGUAGGCGGAAUUCCCGGUGUAGCGGUGGAAUGCGUAGAUAUCGGGAGGAACACCAGUGGCGAAGGCGGCCUACUGGGCACCAACUGACGCUGAGGCUCGAAAGUGUGGGUAGCAAACAGGAUUAGAUA